rnacentral:lncRNA from 1 species
UAUGUGUAAAAUUUUUGUUCCAUUAAACAGCCCAACAAAAAGAGGUUCCGUAGAUGAUUAACUUUGUUAACCUGGAAAAAAAAUGAUGAUUGGUUAUAUACACAGUUAUAUUUGGUUACAUAUGUGUAUGUACAAAAUUUUUGUUCCUAUUAACAAGGCCCAUUAUAUAAUUAUUGAAGAAAAGAGAUUGACUUUGUGUGCAUGUAUGGUUAAUUAAAAAGCCCAACAAAAACAAAGCCUAUUGAUUGACUAUGUUCACCUAAAAAAAAAAAUUGACUUUUUCCACUUGUAGGCUUAUGUUGGAG